UGGCAACGUUAUUUUUUUGUUCAAGUGAUGAUUAUCUAACCACUCGAAUCCUAUGGACAUCUAUAUAUGUAUAUGAAGACAAAUUGGUAUUUAUGACAGAAACAUGCACUUGUCCUUGCAGAUGUGCGCAGUAAGAGGAUGUUACAUUUAACGCAGAGAGAAAGAAUUUUUAUGUAUUCGCAUUGGAGAUUGUAAAAUUUAUUAAUUUAAUAAAUGAUUCGAUUGCUUGUCUCCUGUAAUAUGAGGUCAUCAUCAGAAAAUGAAAUGCGUCAAUUCGGCAGUAAUUUUUUCCUCAACAUUUCCAAACGUAAAAUGCUUGUGCGGGCGAGGAUGGCGAAAGCUUUCCGUGCAAAAAACUCUUUCGUUAUAGUUUUUUGUAUAAUUUUUCCUUUGAAAUAUUUAUUAACACUUUGAAUUUCGAUUUCCAUUUAUAGACAUACAAUAUAAUGAAAAAAACUUUAAUUAUAUUUAAACAAAAAUAAGACUAAGAAGAAAAUACUUUUCCUUGCAAAGGAAUGUUUAAGAUUAAGAGGCCUAUUAAAUAAGCAAGAAAAUCUAAUAGAAAAUGUUUUUGUGUAGUUAUAAUAAAAUACACUCAAGUACAAACAAACUUUAUAUUAGGACUAUUAAAUUGGAAAAGAAAUAAGGUAGACAGAUCCAAAGGAUUGUUUACAUAAAUAUGAAAUAAAAUUUAAAGUCUACAUACAAAAUAAAAGUAAAAGUAGAAAAUGCGUUUUUUUUCUUUACCUCCUUUGAACGUGACACCGUACAUUUCGAGAUAUAAGAUUUUUUUUUUUUUUUUAUAUAUUCAAUGGUAACGUUCUCUUUUUAAAUAUUGAUAAAAAAAGAAAAAAAAGUUUUCUCGGCAAAAUAUGCAUUCUUUUGUAUUUGCUAAAAAGAAGAAAAGAUUCUCUUUUAAAACUUGUACAACUUUUGCAUUUGCGAGUCUUUACUUGAUGGAGGACGAACUUUUGGAUUUUAACAAUGUUGGAAUAAUUUCAUUUCUUUUAAUAAAUUGACAGGAACAAGGAAUUCAAAAUUUAUAAAAUCACCUUGAAAUAAUGGAAAGGAAUCAAAGAAAUAUUUUUACCUUAAAUAAAAAUUAAAAAAAAAAAAAAUGCUAAAGUAACGAGUAAAAAAACGAUUCUCAACAAAGUUUAAAUAAAUAUUAUUUCAUUGGUUGUUUCGUGAAUAUUCGAUAUAAACCAGUGUGACUACUUGCACGAAAUCAGUUUUGGAAAAAAAAAAAAUAUAUAAUCAUAAGGUCUUAUCUUGCUGCACGUUGUUUUACAACAUUAAGAAAUUUAUAUGCUUUGAUAGCCUGCUUCAUUUUGUCCGUUUCCGACAGUGAAGCGGAAAAAAUUUUUCCAAACUUGAAAACCGCGUACUAAUUAAUAUCUUGAAUUGUCUUAUCGCCAGUAAACUCAAGUUUUUAUAUUAAAACGUUUGCAUUUUAGGUAAAUGAUUCAUUCAUAACAAAUAUGUUUACUCUUCAUUUGUUCGUAAAUCUUUUCAAAUAUAUACAAAAUAUUCUUCUUCCUAUUCUUCAUUCCUGAAAUUUUUACUGGCUUAUUAAUACAUUUUUGAUGAUGAGAUAAUGUAAUACCUUAGGACCUCAUUUUUUUAUCUCUUCAUUAAAGAAGUGUAAACAGCUGAAUAAUUUUUAUUUUUGAAUUCUAAUGCGAGCAUUCUCUCUUAUGCCUUAGUUUGUGCAAUUUCGUAAGCAUUUUUCUUUAAGUUAUUAAAAAAAUUGUUUUAGUUUUUUUUCUAGCGAUUUCUUGGCAUAUUCUGAAAUAUAUAAUUUAAAAUGAAAUUUUUUUGAAAAACCUUGUAGUAGUUUUUGUGAACGGAAAAUUCCAUUUACAUUAUCUCGGUUGUAGUCGGCUAUGACUGUAGUAGUAGUAUGUAAUUUUAAAUUAUUAUUAUAAUUACAGUUUAUUAUAUAUUUCUAUGCUUUUUUUCA